GCCUGGUGGCCUGAGCGGUGUGCCCAGAACCCGAUCCCAUCUCGAACUCGGCCGUUAAACACACCAGCGCCCAUGGUACUGUGUCUCAAGACACGGGAGAGUCGGUCGCCGCCAGGCCUGC
rnacentral:rRNA from 1 species